rnacentral:rRNA from 1 species
CCGCAACGAGCGCAACCCUUAUCCUUGUUUGCCAGCGAGUAAUGUCGGGAACUCCAGGGAGACUGCCGGUGAUAAACCGGAGGAAGGUGGGGACGACGUCAAGUCAUCAUGGCCCUUACGAGUAGGGCUACACACGUGCUACAAUGGCGCAUACAGAGGGCGGCCAACUUGCGAAAGUGAGCGAAUCCCAAAAAGUGCGUCGUAGUCCGGAUUGGAGUCUGCAACUCGACUCCAUGAAGUCGGAAUCGCUAGUAAUCGUGGAUCAGAAUGCCACGGUGAAUACGUUCCCGGGCCUUGUACACACCGCCCGUCACACCAUGGGAGUGGGCUGCAAAAGAAGUAGGUAGUUUAACCUUCGGGGGGACGCUUACCACUUUGUGGUUCAUGACUGGGGUGAAGUCGUAACAAGGUAGCGCUAGGGGAACCUGGCGCUGGAUCACCUCCUUAAACGAUGAU